rnacentral:rRNA from 1 species
UACGAAGGGUGCAAACGUUGCUCGGAAUUAUUGGGCGUAAAGCGCACGUAGGCGGCAUUGCAAGUCGGAUGUGAAAUCCCUCGGCUUAACCAAGGAAGUGCAUCCGAAACUGCAGUGCUUGAGUACUUAAGAGGAUCGCGGAAUUCCCGGUGUAAAGGUGAAAUUCGUAGAUAUCGGGAGGAACACCAGUGGCGAAGGCGGCGACCUGGGAAGAUACUGACGCUGAGGUGCGAAAGCGUGGGGAGCAAACAGG